AGCCGUAGAAACAGAUCAUGUGCCCAAAACCACCUGCACAUUUAUCUGUGAAUCCUCUAAAUUCUCAUUCCACUGAUGAAAUUUUUGAAAGGCCUAAGAUUGGAGUUUUACAAAUUGAACCAUAUUGUUAUUAUUACUAAAAUUUAAAGAUGCAUUUGCGCUUUUGGCAAUUGGGGUGGGGUGUUCAAACUAGAUUGCAUGCAAAAUUUUGGACUGAUUUAUUAAGCCAUUUCUGAAACAUUGAUGUUUAACGAAUCACUAUAGAAGUUUUCAUGGAACACUGCAAAUGGCUGUGCAAAUUGCUGGCAUCUUUAAAAAUUAGGUAUUGCCAGGCAACAACUAUAUGUAUCUAUAUGGUCUUUAAGGCAGCAUAAAUUCAACGGUUGGGUAAAGGUUACUGGAAGGAAGAUUAAUAACAUUGGACAUAGAUUUUGGAUGACAGUUAUAUAAAGGUAAGCAGCUGAGCGAUUGGUAAAGAGGAUGUGAUUGGCUGGAUCAAGAGCAAUGGCAUCUGAAUAUAACUGUAUGGCUUGCAGAAAAUCUCCAUUAUUAAUGGCCUCAUUGCUUUCUCUGACUUUCUGUAAGAAGAGUGCUUUAUUGGCAUCACUUGUACUUGUACUUGGUCCUGCUUCUUGAGAUACAGCCUGACAAAUAUACCAAAACACAAUUAUACGUAAAUGACUUAGG